rnacentral:rRNA from 1 species
AUUGAACGCUGGCGGCAUGCCUUACACAUGCAAGUCGAACGGUAACAGGUCUUCGGAUGCUGACGAGUGGCGAACGGGUAAGUAAUACAUCGGAACGUGCCCGAUCGUGGGGGAUAACGAGGCGAAAGCUUUGCUAAUACCGCAUACGAUCUACGGAUGAAAGCGGGGGAUCUUCGGACCUCGCGCGGACGGAGCGGCCGAUGGCAGAUUAGGUAGUUGGUGGGAUAAAAGCUUACCAAGCCGACGAUCUGUAGCUGGUCUGAGAGGAUGAUCAGCCACACUGGGACUGAGACACGGCCCAGACUCCUACGGGAGGCAGCAGUGGGGAAUUUUGGACAAUGGGCGAAAGCCUGAUCCAGCCAUGCCGCGUGCAGGAUGAAGGCCUUCGGGUUGUAAACUGCUUUUGUACGGAACGAAAAGCCUCUUUCUAAUAAAGAGGGGUCAUGACGGUACCGUAAGAAUAAGCACCGGCUAACUACGUG